GUCUGAUGGGUCAGUAUCUUGUUUAUUUAUUAUUGGUAUUAUUGUUACUGAAAUAAUAUUGUGCUUGUUAAAUGUGGGUCUCACGGAAAUGUUGGUUUCUAUAGAGAUCUGUCAUGUGAAUCACUGGAGAGGGAGAGCACCUUGAAUGCACCUGAAGCUCUAGAGCAAAGUUUGCAUAAUAUGAAUGUCCAGAGCGAACCACACAUGAUGGAUGAAAGUGAAUUCAAUGACCUAAGAAACAGUGUUAUUGACUGGGGGACAGAUGAAGAGGACGAUGAGAACCAUGAUAAGGACGACAACAGCCAUGAUGAGGACGAUAAUAGCCAAGAUGAGGAUUACGUACCUCAUAUUAGUAUAAGGAUUGGUGGAGCACUGCCACAUCGUGCAUUGACAGUCUGCCCAUUAUCAGCAUGAGCGAUGU